rnacentral:rRNA from 1 species
CCUACGGGAGGCAGCAGUAGGGAAUAUUGCUCAAUGGGGGAAACCCUGAAGCAGCAACGCCGCGUGGAGGAUGAAGGUUUUAGGAUUGUAAACUCCUUUUGUUAGAGAAGAUUAUGACGGUAUCUAACGAAUAAGCACCGGCUAACUUCGUUCCAGCAGCCGCGGUAAUACGGAGGGUGCAAGCGUAAUUCGGAAUCUCUGGGCGUAAAGAGUGCGUAGGCGGGUUAAUAUGUCCGAUGGGAAAUCCUGGAGCUUAACUUCAGAACUGCAUUUGAAACUGGUACUCUGGAGUGUGAGAGAGGUAGGUGGAAUUCUAGGUGUAGGGGUGAAAUGCGUAGAGAUCAAGAAGAACACUCAUUGCGAAGGCGGCCUACUGGAACAUUACUGACGCUGAUGCACGAAAGCGUGGGGAGCAAACAGGAUUAGAUACCCUGGUAGUC